rnacentral:rRNA from 1 species
UACGUAGGGUGCAAGCGUUGUCCGGAAUUAUUGGGCGUAAAGAGCUCGUAGGCGGUUUGUCGCGUCUGCUGUGAAAACUCGGGGCUUAACUCCGGGCCUGCAGUGGGUACGGGCAGACUAGAGUGCGGUAGGGGAGACUGGAAUUCCUGGUGUAGCGGUGAAAUGCGCAGAUAUCAGGAGGAACACCGGUGGCGAAGGCGGGUCUCUGGGCCGAUACUGACGCUGAGGCACGAAAGCGUGGGGAUCAAACAGG